GGAGUUGUGGCUCAGUGGUAGAGCACUCGCCUUGCAUGUGCAAGACUCUAGGUUCGAUCCUCAGCACCA
rnacentral:tRNA from 1 species